rnacentral:rRNA from 1 species
UACGUAGGGGGCAAGCGUUGUCCGGAUUUAUUGGGCGUAAAGAGCGUGUAGGCGGCCAUACAGGUCCGUUUGGUGAAAACUGGACGGCUUAACCUCCAGACGUCGAUGGAAACCGUAUGGCUAGAGUCCGGAAAGAGGAGAGUGGAAUUCCUGGUGUAGCGGUGAAAUGCGCAGAUAUCAGGAAGAACACCCGUGGCGAAGGCGGCUCUCUGGGACGGUACUGACGCUGAGACGCGAAAGCGUGGGGAGCGAACAGG